rnacentral:rRNA from 1 species
UGUGGAAGCGCCGUCGCUCAACGGAUAAAAGGUACCCCGGGGAUAACAGGCUGAUCUUCCCCAAGAGUCCAUAUCGACGGGAUGGUUUGGCACCUCGAUGUCGGCUCGUCGCAUCCUGGGGCUGGAGUCGGUCCCAAGGGUUGGGCUGUUCGCCCAUUAAAGCGGUACGCGAGCUGGGUUUAGAACGUCGUGAGACAGUUCGGUCCCUAUCCGCUGUGCGCGUAGGAGUCUUGAGAAGGGCUGUCCCUAGUACGAGAGGACCGGGACGGACGAACCUCUGGUGUGCCAGUUGUUCUGCCAAGGGCAUGGCUGGUUGGCUACGUUCGGGAGGGAUAACCGCUGAAAGCAUCUAAGCGGGAAGCCUGCUUCGAGAUGAGGACUCCCACCCCCUUGAGGGGUUAAGGCUCCCAGUAGACGACUGGGUUGAUAGGCCGGAUCUGGAAGCACCGUGAGGUGUGGAGGUGACCGGUACUAAUAGGCCGAGGGCUUGUCCUCAGUUG